rnacentral:rRNA from 1 species
CCUACGGGUGGCAGCAGUGGGGGAUAUUGCACAAUGGGGGGAACCCUGAUGCAGCGACGCCGCGUGGGUGAAGGAGCGUUUCGGCGCGUAAAGCCCUAUCGGCAGGGAAGAAGAUGACGGUAUCUGACCAAGAAGCCCCGGCUAACUACGUGCCAGCAGCCGCGGUAAUACGGAGGGGGCAAGCGUUACCCGGAUUCACUGGGCGUAAAGGGGGCGCAGGCGGGAAAGCAAGCCAGAAGUGAAAGCCCAGGGCCUAACCCCGGGACUGCACUUGAAACUGCAAGGCUAGAGUACGGGAGGGGCAGGCGGAAUUCCUGGUGUAGCGGUAAAAUGCGUAGAUAUUAAGAGGAACACCGAUGGCGAAGGCGACCUGCUAGACUAUGACUGACGUUGAGGCGCGAAGGCGUGGGGAGCAAACAGGAUUAGAUACCCUGGUAGUC